AUGGACAGAGCAAAAAGUGGAGUGUUAGUCAAAGCAAGCCGCCCUAUUCUAUUACUAGACAAAAUGGAGAGAAGCUCAUCUGCUAGAAAUGCUUUAUUUCAUUUCGUUCUCGUUCUUCAUUUCCUUAUUAUUGAAUCCAUGGGGGAGUUGUCAUAUUUAGAAUCUCUCUGCGGUCUGCUCUGUUUACAAUUCUUUCGUACUCUCUUCUCUUUACCACACGAUAGGUCAGCGAAGCGUGAGCGGGUGCUCCGAAGUAAAGGCCAAACACUUCGGCCUAAGGGGAAUGAGCAACAAAAUGACAAGAUGAGGUGCCCCGGGCACCCCCAUAUAGAAAGAAGGGUCGAAGGUUUUGGGCCUGUAGCUUUCCCCGCCCCCCUCAUCGAGUGUGCUUGUUUGGGGGGUGUCCCACCAAAAAGCGGGCUUGAAGCUCUCGCCUUACCAAUGAGCCGACUGCUGAUGGCUGUUGGUCGCGACUACUACAAAAAAGUGAAGAUGAAUCUUUCUAUUUGA
rnacentral:rRNA from 1 species